rnacentral:rRNA from 1 species
GUGCCAGCCGCCGCGGUAAUACCGGCAGCCCGAGUGAUGGCCGAUCUUAUUGGGCCUAAAGCGUCCGUAGCUGGCCGCGCAAGUCCAUCGGGAAAUCCACCCGCCCAACGGGUGGCCGUCCGGUGGAAACUGUUCGGCUUGGGGCCGGAGGACCCGAGGGGUACGUCCGGGGUAGGAGUGAAAUCCUGUAAUCCUGGACAGACCGCCGGUGGCGAAAGCGCCUCGGGAAGACGGACCCGACAGUGAGGGACGAAAGCGGGGAUCUCGAACCGGAUUAGAAACCCCGGUAGUCC